AAUAUUGUCUGAUUAUAACUACUCCUUGGACCACUUUGAAGAAGGAAAUCCCAAUCUCAAUCUAGGUUAACUAUAUAUAUAAUUUAAUAUCUUUUACAUCAACUUGCACCGCUAAAAUGUUUUCCCUUUUAUACUAGUCUUUUUAUGUCAUCAACAGUUAAUCCCAAUACUCCAACAAGGACUCAAGGAAGAAAACAAGCAAUCCCAAUAUAACAUAUAUGCAGGGCUUUCUGAUGUAUGAAGAGCAACAAAUGAUCUAUUCUAAUAUAGUUAACCAGGUAAACUUUUUUUUCUUUCUAUCUGAAUAGAAUCAAAGAAAACCAGAAACCAAACAUUCAAAAAAGACCAAACACUAAUCGAAAAAGAAAGGUAACGACAUACAGGUUGACGAUCCAGCUACUUAGGGUGUUCGUAUCAGCUACUGUGGUGAGCCCCAGUUUCCUUCGGGGCGAUAUCAGUCAUGCAGUUCUUACAGCUCUCUAGACAGUUACCUUUUUGUAUUCAUUAGAGGCUUCAUAGACACAGUUCAGACAGUCAGAUAUUUAUUAUGUUAGCCUUGUUGGCAAUUGUUCAGUUUUUUUGGUUUAAGCCAUGUUGGCUACGUUCAGAUAUUUCAGAUUGUCUAAGUAUUUCCGCAUUAUGAUUUCAGUCAGACCUUUAGUAUA